rnacentral:rRNA from 1 species
AGAGUUUGAUCAUGGCUCAGAUUGAACGCUGGCGGCAGGCCUAACACAUGCAAGUCGAGCGGCAGCGGGGGAAGCUUGCUUCCCCGCCGGCGAGCGGCGGACGGGUGAGUAAUGUCUGGGGAUCUGCCUGAUGGAGGGGGAUAACUACUGGAAACGGUAGCUAAUACCGCAUAACGUCGCAAGACCAAAGUGGGGGACCUUCGGGCCUCACGCCAUCGGAUGAACCCAGAUGGGAUUAGCUAGUAGGUGAGGUAACGGCUCACCUAGGCGACGAUCCCUAGCUGGUCUGAGAGGAUGACCAGCCACACUGGAACUGAGACACGGUCCAGACUCCUACGGGAGGCAGCAGUGGGGAAUAUUGCACAAUGGGGGAAACCCUGAUGCAGCCAUGCCGCGUGUGUGAAGAAGGCCUUCGGGUUGUAAAGCACUUUCAGCGGGGAGGAAGGGGACAAGGUUAAUAACCUUGUUCAUUGACGUUACCCGCAGAAGAAGCACCGGCUAACUCCGUGCCAGCAGCCGCGGUAAUACGGAGGGUGCAAGCGUUAAUCGGAAUGACUGGGCGUAAAGCGCACGCAGGCGGUCUGUUAAGUUGGAUGUGAAAUCCCCGGGCUUAACCUGGGAACUGCAUUCAAAACUGACAGGCUAGAGUCUCGUAGAGGGGGGUAGAAUUCCAGGUGUAGCGGUGAAAUGCGUAGAGAUCUGGAGGAAUACCGGUGGCGAAGGCGGCCCCUGGACGAAGACUGACGCUCAGGUGCGAAAGCGUGGGGAGCAAACAGGAUUAGAUACCCUGGUAGUCCACGCUGUAAACGAUGUCGAUUUGGAGGUUGUGCCCUUGAGGCGUGGCUUCCGGAGCUAACGCGUUAAAUCGACCGCCUGGGGAGUACGGCCGCAAGGUUAAAACUCAAAUGAAUUGACGGGGGCCCGCACAAGCGGUGGAGCAUGUGGUUUAAUUCGAUGCAACGCGAAGAACCUUACCUACUCUUGACAUCCAGCGAACCCUGUAGAGAUACGGGGGUGCCUUCGGGAACGCUGAGACAGGUGCUGCAUGGCUGUCGUCAGCUCGUGUUGUGAAAUGUUGGGUUAAGUCCCGCAACGAGCGCAACCCUUAUCCUCUGUUGCCAGCACUUCGGGUGGGAACUCAGGGGAGACUGCCGGUGAUAAACCGGAGGAAGGUGGGGAUGACGUCAAGUCAUCAUGGCCCUUACGAGUAGGGCUACACACGUGCUACAAUGGCGCAUACAAAGAGAAGCGACCUCGCGAGAGCAAGCGGACCUCAUAAAGUGCGUCGUAGUCCGGAUUGGAGUCUGCAACUCGACUCCAUGAAGUCGGAAUCGCUAGUAAUCGUAGAUCAGAAUGCUACGGUGAAUACGUUCCCGGGCCUUGUACACACCGCCCGUCACACCAUGGGAGUGGGUUGCAAAAGAAGUAGGUAGCUUAACCUUCGGGAGGGCGCUUACCACUUUGUGAUUCAUGACUGGGGUGAAGUCGUAACAAGGUAACCGUAGGGGAACCUGCGGUUG